rnacentral:lncRNA from 1 species
CUAAGAUAUCUGUUGAUACUGCACUGAAACUGUUUUAACGAGUCAGGUUCGUAUUCUUCUCCGUCCUUUUUCCUUGUUGACAUAAAAAAAUCUAGCCAAAUAGCUGUCCAAAACAAUCUUUGGCAAUUCCUCCAACGCACACUGUUCGUCAUUGUUUGUUUGUAAAAAAUCUUUAAACCUGUUAACAUCACUUUGUGUUUUUCUGACAGUGUUCUUAUUUCUCAUAGACUGUACAAAUUUCUCGGUAGAAAUAUCAAAGUUUGCUUCAUCACCACCGUCAACAUCGUCC